rnacentral:tRNA from 1 species
AGGAUUUUAAUUUAAAUAAAAAUAGUUAUUUGUCAAGUAAUCUUUACAAUUAUUAAUUGUAAUUCCUG